UGAGGGUGAAGCAGGUUAUCGUUUUAAGAAUCGGGUGCUUACCUAGGCACCAGGGGGCCAGGUCGGGUCGGGGGUUCCGGUACUCCCCUCUCAGGCCAGGUCGGGCGGCGUCCCGUACGGCCCCGCUAGCUCCCCCUCCGGGGGUUCUCUAGCUUGUCCCGACCUGCCUGGGACGGCGGCAGGCGGGACGCUGAUGCCGCUUCUCCUCCGGGAGCUCUCGGCUCAGCGGCGCGCUCCCAACGGCGUCGUCGUCGCAUCAUGACGUCACUUCCGGGUCAGCCGGAAACAAGAUGGCGGCGCCCAGCACAAGCGCUGGAGGCCUGGAAGCCCGGCCUCGCGCUCAGGGGUUGACUCCCUCCCCCCGGGGGGGUUGAGUUCCCCUUAUAAGAACGGAGCAGCGCGGCAGCAGAGGUGGAGGUAAGCCCCAGUGGGGAAGUUGUGAGCGGCUGUGUGUUUGCUUAGCCACCAUGGAGCCCCAAGCGUCAGCCAAAUCUGAGAUUGCGUCUGACCCCUCUGCUGCAGCUCAUGUAAGUGUCUUUGUCCUUAUACCCUGGUGUACUCUCCCCAGUCAUUGAGCGCGGUUUCUCGGAUUUUUUCUAGGAUAAAAAGAGUUCUGGGCAGUCGUCUUCUCAGGACCCCAGAAGGAAACCGAGAAAGUGUGCAACUUGUGGGGAAAAGAUGCAUAUAUCUUACAAGAAGCAGCUAUGUGCCGAUUGCAUUGCCAGGUUAAUGAAGGAGGAGCAGCCGUCCUUUCUCACAGAACUUAGGAAUAUCGUUCGUGAAGAAGUACAGGCUACGGUUUCUUCCCUAAACCCUCCGCCACCUCCUUCUCAACCUGACUCCCCUCCCCCAAAAAGAAGGAGGACUCAGGAGGACUCUGAUUCUGAUAAUCAGGAAGUCUCGGACGGAGAGAUUGAAGACGACACCAUCUCUGCUUCCGGCUCUUCAGACCACCCUAAAAGAUUUUUAUUUUCUACUGAGGACUUAGACGCCCUCCUCCAUGCGGUUAGAGAUACCAUGCAAGUAGAGGAAGCUAGCCCUCCCAUAUCCGUUCAGGACGAGAUGUUUGGGGGGUUAGGGGCAAAAAAGACUCGCCUAUUCCCAGUAAACUCCCAUCUGAAGGAGAUAAUUCUGGAGGAAUGGAAGGAGGCCGAAAAGAAGCUAGUUAUGCCUAGGGAAUUUAAAAAUCGGCUGAUUUUUAAUCCUGAGGAUACUAAACUAUGGGACGAAGUUCCCAGGAUAGACAUUCAGGUGGCGAAGGUCACAAAGAAGACCACCAUCCCCUUCGAAGAUUCCUCAAACUUAAAAGACCCUAUGGAUAGGAAGGCGGAGGGGCUACUUAAGAAGGCCUGGGAGUGUUCAUCUGCUCUUAUUAACGCCAACAUUACUGCCACCUCGGUAGCCAGGUCUAUGGGGUUAUGGCUGAAUCAGCUAGAGAACCACCUUAGACUAAAAACCCCAAGGGAAGACAUUCUAGAAUCUAUUCCCCUUCUUAAGAUGGCUACGGCCUACCUGGCGGACUCCUCGGCCGAAUCCAUCAGGAUUUCAGCUAGAAACAGCACCCUGGCGAAUUCGGCUAGAAGGGCCCUUUGGCUAAGAAGUUGGUCAGGGGAUGUAGCGUCAAAGAAUAAACUUUGUUCAAUCCCUUUCUCAGGUUCACAUGUGUUUGGCCCUGUCCUAGAUACAAUCCUUGAGAGUGCCGCGGACAGAAAAAAGGGCUUUCCGGAAGAGAGGUCUAAGAAGACUCAGUCCUUUCGGAGGGAUUCAGGCCAGGGUCAGUCACAGAAUUUUCCAGGUAGAGGGAAAGGCAAAUCGGGCAGGUGGAGCUACCCCAAAGGUGGGAAGGGGAGGGGGUUCCUUCUCAAACCCAACACUUCCUCUUACCAGAGUAAAUGACGCCAGACCUGUGGGGGGGAGACUUCGGUUCUUCAGUCAUCAGUGGCCUUUAGUAACUCAGAACCCCUGGGUACUUCAGACGGUUCGAGAGGGGUACAAGAUAGAGUUCCGUCGUCCUCCCCCUCAGAGAUUCUGUGUUACCACUCCCCAGUCUCCGUCUCUAAAGAACCAGAUGGUUCAGGACUUGGAGAAACUUUGCGCAAUGGAAGCAAUAGUUCCUGUUCCAAGACCCCAACAGGGCAGAGGCCACUACUCCAAACUGUUCUGGGUAAAAAAACCAGACGGUUCACUAAGAACUAUCAUAAACCUGAAGUUCCUGAACAAUUGGAUCCAAUAUUUCAGAUUCAAGAUGGAGUCAAUACGUUCAACGGUUCCACUGAUUCCAGCAGGGGCAUUGAUGUGCACCAUCGAUCUCAAAGAUGCCUACUAUCAUGUCCCCAUUCAUCCAAGCCAUCAUCAGUUCCUCAGGUUCGCGGUGACGUUAGAUGGCAUAGUGCAUCACUUCCAGUUCCAAUGUCUUCCAUUUGGGAUUUCAAGUGCCCCACGCAUCUUUACGAAACUAAUAGUAGAGAUAAUGGCGUUCCUGAGACAACAGGGAAUAACAAUAGUCCCGUACUUAGACGACUUCCUCCUGACAGCAUCCUCAGAGGUCCUUCUGCGGAACCAUCUGCAGACGACGUUACGGGUUCUACAGGACUUAGGCUGGAUUAUCAACCUAGAGAAAUCAGAUCUUUGCAUGAGCGAAAGGAAGAUCUUUCUAGGCACCCUUCUGGACUCCCAGAGACAGAUGUCCUUCCUUCCAGGUUCAAAACGCGACGCUUUCAUAGAAGAAAUAUCCUCCUUCCAAAGGAAAAACCUCUGCUCCAUCAGAGAGGCUAUGCGGAUACUAGGCCUGAUGACAUCCUGUAUACAGAUGGUCCAGUGGGCCCAGAUCCACUCAAGGCCACUUCAGGGUCUAGUCCUCACCAAGUGGGACAAAGACCAGAGGUCUCUAGACAGGAAGAUCAGGAUCCCAAUGUCCAUAAAGGAGUCCUUGAACUGGUGGAUAACUCCCGACAACCUACAGAGAGGGGUUCACUGGUUGAGAAGACCUUGUUUGACGGUGGUGACCGAUGCCAGCAUGACCGGCUGGGGUUCACACAUAGAAGAUCAUCUCUUUCAGGGUUCAUGGUCCCUGGCAGAGAGUCAGCGCUCCUCAAACGUAAGAGAAUUAAUGGCGGUACUAAGGUCUCUCCAAGCAGCAGAACUUCUCUUAAAAGGGAACCACGUUCAAGUUCUGUCAGACAAUAUAACUACAGUCUGCUAUAUAAGGCAUCAAGGGGGAACUCAGAACCCAGGCCUUCAGGAGGUCGCAGAAAAAAUCUUCCUUUGGGCACAGGAAAAUAUCCUAUCUAUCUCAGCCCUCCAUAUCAGAGGGAAGGACAAUGUUACAGCAGACUACCUGAGCAGAAGAAGAUUCCAUCCGGGAGAAUGGAUGCUGAACAGGCAAGUCUUUCACCAGAUCUGCAGGAAAUGGGGGUACCCCCAGGUGGAUCUCCUAGCCUCCAAGGAAAACGCCCAGGCGUCUCAGUUCUUUUCCCUAGAUCCCAGCGGGGAUCCUCUGGGGAUAGAUGCCAUGUCAAAAUCAUGGGACAUGGAUCUAGCUUACGCCUUCCCGCCAAUCCCGCUUAUCCCGGCCACCUUGAGGAAGAUCAGCGAGAGCUCGGGGAAGUUCAUUUUCAUAGGCCCAGCCUGGCCGAAGAGGAGCUGGUAUCCCCUGUUAGACAGGCUAAAGGUAGAAGAACCAAUAUCCCUCCCUCUGCAGCCGGACCUUCUCACUCAGGGGUCCCUUCUCCACCCGGAUCUGGAAAAGUGGAAUCUGAAAGCCUGGAUCCUGAAAGGAGAAUGCUGAGCAGGCAGGGCUUGUCACAUGCUGUAAUCUCCACACUACAAAAAAGUAGGAAACCAGUUACAAAUGCUAUAUAUAGGAAGAUCUGGAACAGAUUUAAUUCCUGGUUGGCUGAUAUACAUCCAUCCAGAUCAACUCCUUCCAUCGCGCAGAUUCUUGACUUCCUACAGAGAGGCUUUGACCUAGGGCUACGCCCUAGCACGAUCAAGGUGCAGAUAUCUGCCUUAUCAUCCUUCCUGGACUACCCACUAGCAGAACAUCGUUGGAUAAAGAGGUUCGUAAAGGCUAUAUCCAGACUAAAACCCACUCUGAGACAGACUGUUCCUCCUUGGGACUUAUCUAUAGUUCUAGAUGCCCUCUGUAAGAUGCCCUUUGAACCCUUGGACACCAUUCCAUUAAAAUUGCUCUCCUGGAAGACGGCCUUCUUGGUAGCCAUCACUUCAGCACGCAGAAUUGGUGAACUUCAGGCCUUAUCCAUGAAGGAACCUUUCUUAAGAGUCUGCCCGGAUCGAAUAAUUCUUCAGUUAGACCCAGCGUUCCUCCCUAAAGUCGUCUCUACUUUCCAUAGGGAACAAGAAAUAUUCUUACCUUCUUUUUACGCCUCUCCUAGAGAUCCGGAAGAGGAGAAAUUCCAUUGCCUGGACGUCCGUCGGGCAGUCCUUGAAUACCUUCGCCGAACAGAUCCUGAUAGGAAGGACUCAAACCUCUUUGUACAAUUUGGUAGAGCAGGAAGAGGGAAGAAAGUGACUAGAAGGACUCUGACACAGUGGAUCAAGUCAACAAUUGUGGAAGCAUAUCGUCUUCAGGAUAGUCCCUGUCCUAUCUCUAUCAGAGCACAUUCUACUAGGGCAGUCGCAGCUUCCUGGGCGGAGAAGGCGAACACCUCUAUAGAUCAGAUUUGUCAGGCAGCCACCUGGACAAGUUAUAACACCUUUUGUAAACAUUACAGGUUGAACCUACCGUCCAAUCGUCAGCUUUCCUUUGGGCGUAAGGUUCUACAGGCUGUGGUCCCUCCCUGAUGGCUAAGUUGGUAACUCUCCCAUGUGCUGUCAUGGAGGACGUCCUGGAAAUCGGUAGUUAGUCUUACCGGUAACGUUCUUUCCAGGAGUCCAACAUGACAGCACUACUAAUUCCCUCCCUAUUAUGUGAUUCAGUGUGAUGUUAACAUUGCUUAUCAUAUUAGUAAUAAAAUUGUGUUGCAUCCAUCCGGUGUAGUAAUUUAGAAGACACUGGAGAUUGGAGGGAUGGGGGGGGCUUUUAAUCUGUUUCACUUCCUGUCCCAACAGUGAUUGGAUUAGACAUCCUCCCAUGUGCUGUCAUGUUGGACUCCUGGAAAGAACGUUACCGGUACGUAUUUACGCUCUUGUUCAGAGCAUGGUGGACUGGGGGUACACGCGUGAUGGAAACGUGAAAGGAGCACCUUAUGAUUGGCGCAAAGCUCCUAACGAGAACUCAGAAUAUUUUGAAGCUUUACAGAAGCUGAUAGAGACUAUGUAUGAAGAAUAUAAGAGCCCAGUGGUGCUCAUUGCUCACAGUAUGGGCAACCUGUACACCCUUUAUUUCCUCAAUCACCAGACGCAGCGCUGGAAGGACCGGUAUAUUCACUCUUUUGUGGCUAUUGGUG